rnacentral:rRNA from 1 species
AUUGAACGCUGGCGGCAGGCUUAACACAUGCAAGUCGAGCGGAGAUGAGGUGCUUGCACCUUAUCUUAGCGGCGGACGGGUGAGUAAUGCUUAGGAAUCUGCCUAUUAGUGGGGGACAACAUUCCGAAAGGAAUGCUAAUACCGCAUACGCCCUACGGGGGAAAGCAGGGGAUCUUCGGACCUUGCGCUAAUAGAUGAGCCUAAGUCGGAUUAGCUAGUUGGUGGGGUAAAGGCCUACCAAGGCGACGAUCUGUAGCGGGUCUGAGAGGAUGAUCCGCCACACCGGGACUGAGACACGGCCCAGACUCCUACGGGAGGCAGCAGUGGGGAAUAUUGGACAAUGGGCGGAAGCCUGAUCCAGCCAUGCCGCGUGUGUGAAGAAGGCCUUUUGGUUGUAAAGCACUUUAAGCGAGGAGGAGGCUACCUGGAUUAAUACUCUAGGAUAGUGGACGUUACUCGCAGAAUAAGCACCGGCUAACUCUGUGCCAGCAGCCGCGGUAACAC